rfam:Planctomycetes bacterium RBG_13_63_9 RBG_13_scaffold_12540, whole genome shotgun sequence.
GCCCCCUUAGCUCAACAGGCAGAGCAUCUGACUCUUAAUCAGAGGGUUGGAGGUUCAAGUCCUCCAGGGGGCA